GAUGAACGCUGGCGGCGUGCUUAACACAUGCAAGUCGAACGGAAAGGCUCCUGCUUGCAGGGGUACUCGAGUGGCGAACGGGUGAGUAACACGUGGGUGAUCUGCCCUGCACUUCGGGAUAAGCCUGGGAAACUGGGGCUAAUACCGGAUAGGACGAUGGGUUGGAUGCCAUUGUGGAAAGUUUUUUCGGUGUGGGAUGAGCUCGCGGCCUAUCAGCUUGUUGGUGGGGUAAUGGCCUACCAAGGCGUCGACGGGUAGCCGGCCUGAGAGGGUGUACGGCCACAUUGGGACUGAGAUACGGCCCAGACUCCUACGGGAGGCAGCAGUGGGGAAUAUUGCACAAUGGGCGCAAGCCUGAUGCAGCGACGCCGCGUGGGGGAUGACGGCCUUCGGGUUGUAAACUCCUUUCGCUAGGGACGAAGCGCAAGUGACGGUACCUGGAGAAGAAGCACCGGCUAACUACGUG
rnacentral:rRNA from 1 species